GAUGAAGAACGUAGCGAAAUGCGAUAAGUAAUGUGAAUUGCAGAAUUCAGUGAAUCAUCGAAUCUUUGAACGCACAUUGCGCCCCUUGGUAUUCCGAGGGGCAUGCCUGUUCGAGCGUCAUUAUAACCCCUCAAGCUCAGCUUGGUGUUGGGGCCUGCUGCACUGGCAGCCCUUAAAAUCAGUGGCGGCGCCAUCUGGCUCUAAGCGUAGUAAUUCUUCUCGCUAUGGAGUCCUGGUGGAUGCUUGCCAUCAACCCCCAAUUUUUCUAUGGUUGACCUCGGAUCAGGUAGGGAUACCGGCUGAACUUAAGCAUAUCAAUAAGCGGAGGA
rnacentral:misc_RNA from 1 species